rnacentral:rRNA from 1 species
UACGAAGGGUGCAAGCGUUACUCGGAAUUACUGGGCGUAAAGCGUGCGUAGGUGGUUCGUUAAGUCUGUCGUGAAAGCCCCGGGCUCAACCUGGGAAUGGCGAUGGAUACUGGCGAGCUAGGGUGCGGUAGAGGAGAGUGGAAUUCCCGGUGUAGCAGUGAAAUGCGUAGAGAUCGGGAGGAACAUCAGUUGCGAAGGCGGCUCUCUGGACCAGCACUGACACUGAGGCACGAAAGCGUGGGGAGCAAACAGG